rnacentral:rRNA from 1 species
GCUUGUCUCAAAGAUUAAGCCAUGCAUGUCUAAGUAUAAAUAAAUCUAUACGUGAAACUGCGAAUGGCUCAUUAUAUCAGUUAUAGUUUAUUUGAUGGUUCUUGCUACUUGGAUAACCGUAGUAAUUCUAGAGCUAAUACAUGCGUCAAACCCCGACUUCUGGGAGGGGUGUAUUUAUUAGAUGGAAACCAAUGCGGGGCAACCCGGUAUAUGGUGAUUCAUAAUAACUUUCGGAUCGAUCUUCGGAUCGAUGCAUCAUUCAAGUUUCUGCCCUAUCAGCUUUGGAUGGUAGGGUAUUGGCCUACCAUGGCUUUAACGGGUAACGGAGAAUUAGGGUUCGAUUCCGGAGAGGGAGCCUGAGAAAUGGCUACCACAUCCAAGGAAGGCAGCAGG